UUUCAUUUUCUGAGGCAUCCAACCACAAAAAUCUCCUAUUUGGGGAGCUACAGCCUAUAUGGAUCUGUUUAAAUCAAUUUAUUCGAUACUUCUCUGAUGGCCAAUGGUUUCUGAUAUAUUUCUUCUUCUGCUUUUUUUUAAAAAAAAAUUUAAUGAGUAUACUUUUGGGUUUUGGUAACUUGACUGUUUGUUUCCAGUUGGCUUUUUUUUUUUUUUUUUGGAGUUAGUUUCCAGUUGUCAUACUGAUAUAUUUCCAGUUUGUUUUCAGUUGACUGAUAUAUAUCAAAGUGAGGGUUUCCUGAUAUAUUUCCAAUUUUGCAUAUAAAAAGUGAGGGUUCAAUGUGAACUAUGCAAAGACUUUGAAAUGUAGCAUUUUAUGUGACUGCAGAUUUUAAUGCAACAUGUUUAGAUUUUCUGAUCAACUGCAGUGCCAACGAAAUUUUCUGGUCCAGUGAAAUAGUAGAAUCUGUGAGAGAAGAAUCAUUUGAGUUUUGUGACAAAGAUAAAGAUAGUGAAGAAAGGGAUAGAGUCGAAAUGCUCUUGUGGAGGCUAAUCGGUUCUUUCAGCAGUUUCACGUGUUAAACUUAAAUUCACAGGAUUGUUAUCAUGCAAUGAUUUUUGAGUGGGUCUACAAACCCAUAACACAACAUCAGAAUUUCGGAAAGUGCGAAGAGCAAUAGUAAAUUGUUGCUUGUUGUUCUUGAUAUGUGGGGGCUUCAACAGGUAAAGGAGAGAUAAGAAAAAUAAAGAGUCAGAAAGAAGAGAAGACAAUUGAAUUGGUGAGUGAGAUUGCUGCUGGUUGCAGCGUGAGGAAGAAGGGGGAGGAGGAAAGAGAAAAGUAAAGAAAAAAAUAGGGGGUAAAAUUGUCAUUGAACACUCUAAAUUUAUCAUACACAUUCAAUCCCGCUCGUGUAUUUGCCAAUUUUGAUGGAAUUCGCCAAUUUUGCACUCCAAGGUUGUGUACAUUUUUAAAUGUCAUGGGGUAAUAUGUUUUUAGAUUAAGCAUAGGGGUUAUAGUGUAACUAACCCUUGUUUUUAUUGCUGAAUAGCCACAUCACAUAUC